UGCUCUGAAAAGUUAUUUCGAGUCUGUCUCACCUACUUCUUUACAUCUUCAUAGACUAAGAAUACCGUGGCUGACAUUUCAAUUGCAGUUCCGGCAACUUAUAUGGAAUGUAAAGAAGUAUGCGUGACAGGCGGCGAAUUUUCAACAAGAGAAAU
rnacentral:precursor_RNA from 10 species